AACGUUACGUACUUACUAUUGUAUACGCAGCACUUCACCCCACGACCUUGUUUACGCUCGCGCGGCGUUAUUCGAGCCGGCGAUCUCCGCGCGUCGAGGCGCGAGUCAUUAUCUUUCGAAACGUGGUCGCGGCAGGUAUCGGAAGUCGAACGCGAUCGUCUCUUAUAAUUCGCGUCUCUUAAUCUGUGGAAUUAAUGCGUUCCCGUGAUUGACUACUCGAAAGUGACCGUGUCGUGGCGACAAUUGUCUCUCGCAACGGAUACAUCUCGCGAGGAUCAUUUAUAACAUGAUCGUGCAGCAUCGCGAACGGCAACGAUCCUGGCAAUACGAAAUUCCUCCCCGCUUUGAAAGUCGCUCGAUACUAGACAUCGCGAGUGCCGAAUGGAUUACACGACCGUCGUUUCUCCUCGCAAUACAGUAAAGCACGCGUUUCGCAAGUGUAACGUUUCGGUAGUACCGUGUAAAGUGCCGCGCGAUUAUCGUACUUUUUCAUGAUUAUUGCUGGAACUGAUCGUGUUUUCGCGAUUGCAAGCGUACGCGUGGGUGUUAUGAAAAAGUACUGGAGGAAUUUGAGAGGAGGAGGAGGCUAAGAGCUGGCAUCGAGCAACGGCGGAGAAAUCCAAGGAUUGAUACAAUUCGCUGCUGCGCUUCGUACCGGUGAGUUAAAUUAUCUUAUUUUAUUUGAAGGCAAUGAAUCUCCGGAAGAGUAUUGCAAAUAAAUAUGUAACAUCGCGGUUCUUCAUUACUUUGAUCGGCUGAAACAAGGUAAAUUAGUAUCAAUGUACAAAUUCCAAGGAUUAAAGGUUAUUCUUUAUUCCUUCGAAUUUGUGUUUAUCACACGACUUAUGAAUUUUAUUUGCAGUAUCAAUGUCUUCUCUAUGAUAUCUGGAAUAGUACAAACACGAGGCAUAUUUAAUUUCGACGCUCUUAACGCACACGAGAUAACAAAUGGUCAAGAAUAAACGUUCUGUAAUAUUUUCCAACAAAAAGACGUUAAUUUCCGAGUUGCUUAAGCGGCUUAGCCGAUGUAAAUAACUUAAACCACUUAAGAUAACUGCGAUCCUCUUAUCCGCCAGGCAAUUUUCAUAUUUCCUUUAUUAUCUCCCGCGAGUGUUGUAACCCCAUCGCGGCAACCUGCCGUCGCAAAUCAUGGUGUCACACAUGGCGCGAUAAGGCGGCAUAUACGGCGAUAACUAUUCCCGUCGAGCGGUCCGCGGAAAUGCGAUCGUUUUUCCGCCGUUAUUCGCGUCACGUCGACCCUUACAAUUGCUUUUUGCGCCGUUUACACGAGCAUUGGUUAGCACCAAAGUUUUCUUUACCUCUUACGGUGGAAUUGUGGCAGUUUUGGUAUCAGCGAUCGCGCGCCGAUUUCGCAUGGACACGUGGCGGCUUGUAUUAGUCCCUCUCGGCGACCGGGAUCGUUUAACCGGUAAUCCGGCGCGGAAGCAAAUAAGUUAAAGUUCGCAAACUCGUCCCGUCGUGUAAACUUAAAGUACUUGGCCAAAACGUUUAGAGGAGACAAGCGCGCGUGCCCGCACGCCGACGACGACGACGUUAUACGAUGGGAAAGUUUCCGAAGACGCCAUUCUCGUAUCUGGCUCUAGGCGUUUUCGACGAUGUACCUCGUUCGCUUCCUAUGUAAAUAGGUAGUGCCUUGCCUCCGUUAAAUUAUCACUAGUCAGGGCGCCGUUUAAACGCGCGCGCUCGCGACUCUAAUUCGCCCUCGCGCAGAUUCGGGGCUUACGCGGAUUAAGCGUUGCGCGCGGUAUAUUGUUUCGCGAACCAAGUUCGAUAACGGCUCAAGUGUCGUUAUUCGUUGCUAAUAAUUACUACU